rnacentral:lncRNA from 12 species
CCCCCCCCCCCCCCCCCCCCCCCCCCCCCCCCCCCCCCCCCCCCCCCCCCCCCCCCCCCCCCCCCUGGGCCGCGGCGGCGCGUGAGCUGGCGGAGAUCUCGCGAGAUUUGGGGGGGGCGGGAGGAUCGUGAGGGACCGGGACAAACCGGGACAAAUCGAGAUAAACUGUGAGGAAUCGCGACAAACCGUGAGGGAACUCUGUGCCGACCGUGCCUUGAGGGGCAGCCAAACUCUGUCUCUGACACAGAUCUGCCCUGUCCUAAACCCUCGCAUGUGCCUCGUGGAAAGAUCCUCCAAAGCUCCUCCAGGAUCCCUUUUCCCCCCGUGACAGUUUCACCCUCAAAAUUCCAUGGAGGAACCCAAGGAAUUUAUUCCCACCCCUGGAUGCAUGUGUGUUAUUAUCCAUGCAACUCCAUUCCACCAGGACGCCCCUGGCAGUGCAAUCCCAGGGAUCAUCCAGGGACAUUCCAGUGAAUCCUGAGCUGCUCCCUCAGCACAGCAAGAUUUUCUCCUGCCAUCCUGGAGCUGCUUCAAGCCAAAGUCUGUGCCCUGCUCUCCCAAUUCCCAGCGUUCCUGGCUCCAGGACACACUGAGGGGUGACUCAUGCUGCCUCAAGACUUUUUUCCUGUAAAAAAAUUCCCUUUUCCUUAGGAGUGACUCCAUUUUUUUUUUUUUUUGCCUCCUCAUUGUCCUUCUGGUGGCCCAAUUUGCAGC